GGUUGUCGUCAGCUCGUGUCGUGAGAUGUUGGGUUAAGUCCGCAACGAGCGCCAACCCUACGUUAGUUGCUAACGCGUGAAGGCGAGCACUCUAGACGAACUGCCGUUGACAAAACGGAGGAAGGUGGGAUGACGUCAAAUCAUCAUGCCCUUAUGUUCUGGGCUACACACGUGCUACAAUGGCCGGUACAGACGGACGCAAAGCCGCGAGGUGGAGCAAAUCCUAAAAAGCCGGUCUCAGUUCGGAUUGCAGGCUGCAAUUCGCCUGCAUGAAGUCGGAAUCGCUAGUAAUCGCAGGUCAGCAUACUGCGGUGAAUACGUUCCCGGGCCUU
rnacentral:rRNA from 1 species